GAGAAGACAAGGUUAUCUUGCUGGAGGAUGCUAGCAUGUGAGACGAUGAAUGAGAAGGAAUAAUUUUAAUGGAAAAAUACAAUUAAACGCCUUACAAGACAGGGUUGAAGCUAAUGAAACUGCAGACACUGUGGAAGGUGUGAUAGCAACCAGCGGGUUAAUUUUAGGGGUGGCCCUUCUUAAAAUUUGUCUCUGCUAGUGCUAGGCUUCUCUGAAAUUGAGAGAUAUGGUGCCUUGAUCAUCAGGUAAUCUACCAACCAGUCAGUACGAAAGGACCUUGUGAAGCUGUACAUGAUUGUUUAGCAAUU
rnacentral:misc_RNA from 1 species